UGCCGGAACAUCAGCACAGGAAGGAAUCUGUAUAGUUUGACUGCUAGGUAGCAGAUUUUGCUGCCGGAACACCGUCGUAUCCUACAUUUUACGGCGGAGAAACACCAGCAGCAACAAACGAAAUUCCUUACGUUCGAUGGACUGCUAUAUGGCGUCAACAGUGAUCACAACAUAUCCAGGCUCUACUCGCAAUCCGUCGUGCUAGUGCAAAAUCCUGCCGGAACACCAUCCCAACGAUAGUACACCAGCAGUACCACGGACUACAGAAGUAUUGUUCAUCGAAACGUAGAACAACGCCACUUUCGGACCCCGAAAGGGAACGAAUCCGAUGCUGUACAUAUACGUAUCACAAAAGGCCCUGAAUCAUCAUGGCUUAAGAACUGAAGAAGAAAUAGACGAUAUAGUACGUUCAAGACGAUGACGCUGAUGCUGAUUCUGUUGCCGCUCCCUCACGUCACCUAUCUUCAAGAGGAAAACACUUGAAGCUCAUGAAAGUGGUCAACCUGGAAGAUCCCAAAACUCGUGUAGUGUGUCCAAGUCGCAGCAGAGUCUCAGCCAAGUCGGCAGCAGCAGUUCCAGCUCUAGUUCCUGUCCCGAUAGCAUUUCCUCGCAGCUGCUGAAGACCACCAAACUGCUGGCCAAUUUGGACUGGUGCACGGAUGUGGUAGGAGGGUGGUGGCAGCGGGAGCAGUGUAAGCGGAAGCAGCACCAUCGUGAUCGGGGAUGGCAAUGGGAGUUCCGGCAGUGCCGUUCAGGAUAUCGGUAUUCGUGCCGGUAACAUUUAGUAAAACACCCACGCAGGUUAGCAAUAAAUCCACUGGGAAUAGCAGCAGUGCCGGCACCGCGACCAACAACUCCAGCAAACAUCAGCUGAUUGCAUCUUCUAGUCAAGCCUCUGGUGGGUUCCUGGGAAGCAGUGCUAAUGACGGCAGUUUGAACAUGAACGGUGGCGGCGGUCUCGGUGGCCACACCGUGGUGCUCUCGGAUCUGGACUCGAGUGACGAUGAUCAUCUGCGCUUCAGCAAAAAUGGAACCGAAAUAUUUGACUACGAUUGUGAUUACGAUAACGAAGAGGAGUUCAACUAUCUGGCCCGCGCUGCAGCUGCCGUAGCAGCUUCGACCGAGUUCCUCCUAUUGGAGACUUCGAUAUGGAUGGAAACGGCCUGCUAAAAAUCCGAAGGUCCAACAGUUUUACCACGACGGCGAGCAGUGCAUGCGGACUUCCGGUUGGCGAGCUGCAUCAGCAAAAGCAUAACAACGAAUAUUUAUCAGCGGAAAAUCUAACUAACCUGCAGCUUCUGCAGAAUAAACCGAAGAGUUUCUCCUAAACCAUGGACAGUCAAGGCUCGACGAUUUUAAGCAACAUCAGAUGAUGAAUGAAAUGAUUAAUGGGUGGCUAGCUGGGCCUGACACAAACUCCCCAAGUUUCUGAGGGCCAUUCCACCUAACUUUCCGGUGAACUAUUCUGCGAAAUUUUGUAUACAGUCCCUCGCUGGCACUCGGACGACGAUCAGCUGCCCCUGGGGAACAGAUGCUGUUGUGAGCCGCUUCUAACAUGGAGAACAGACGCUCGUUCAGAUUUGCACCUAAGAGAGGAGCAAACUCCCUUCCACGUUCUUUGCCACCGUACAACCAUAGUUCCCACCGGGGUUGGUUAUCCGAUGCUCCUUGAGAUUGCUCGUACCCCGACCAGCACCACGGGGAGGUACAGGUUGGGGUUUGCUGGGAAAGAGGCUGAGAACCGCGAGAUGGAGUCUAUUUUAUUCCUUCAGGUACGCGAAGUACCAAUGGUACAAUGGUUUUAAUUUAUAAUUGAAUUGUCAAUAUAAAGGAUUGGAAAUAAUUUGUAUAAAGAUGCCAUAUAUUUUUCAUAUUCGAAUAUCAAUGUUGUGCUGCACAGGAAGGCAUUGUACGGUGCCUCCAAAAAGCAGAGGUCCUUCGCGUUUCAGGGCACCUUACUUAUUCUUGGCAUUAAGAAUCAAUCCAUAGAACUUGGAGAACCUUUAUUAAGAUAUUAAGAUAAUCAGUUGAGCGUGAAAAUUACGGUACCUAGAAUAUUGCGAAAAAGAGGAUCCAAUAGUUGAGCGAGUGUCAGCCUUGAGCUUCUCGGUUGAUGCGAUCGACUCUCGGGACUUUUUGGGAUGUGAUUGGAUGUUUUGAUGGCCGUUUGGAUUUCUAGUACCGUAAAAUGGGGCGAAUAGAAACAAAACUCCCUAAACUUAACAAUACUUUCACAAAAUUGUAAGAAUAUACAAAAAUCUUCGGGAAA